ACCCAUCUGGCGAGUCCGAAAUAGGACAAAAGGCGUGUCCUGGAU
rnacentral:hammerhead_ribozyme from 1 species